GCGAAGGGGGGACGGAGAAGGCUAUGUUGGCCGGGCGACGGUUGUCCCGGUUUAAGCGUGUAGGUGUGUGUUCCAGGUAAAUCCGGUUCACUUUAACACUGAGGCGUGAUGACGAGGCACUACGGUGCUGAAGUAACAAAUGCCCUGCUUCCAGGAAAAGCCUCUAAGCAUCAGGUAACAUCAAAUCGUACCCCAAACCGACACAGGUGGUCAGGUAGAGAAUACCAAGGCGCUUGAGAGAACUCGGGUGAAGGAACUAGGCAAAAUGGUGCCGUAACUUCGGGAGAAGGCACGCUGACACGUAGGUGAAGUGAUUUACUCACGGAGCUGAAGUCAGUCGAAGAUACCAGCUGGCUGCAACUGUUUAUUAAAAACACAGCACUGUGCAAACACGAAAGUGGACGUAUACGGUGUGACGCCUGCCCGGUGCCGGAAGGUUAAUUGAUGGGGUCAGCGCAAGCGAAGCUCCUGAUCGAAGCCCCGGUAAACGGCGGCCGUAACUAUAACGGUCCUAAGGUAGCGAAAUUCCUUGUCGGGUAAGUUCCGACCUGCACGAAUGGCGUAAUGAUGGCCAGGCUGUCUCCACCCGAGACUCAGUGAAAUUGAACUCGCUGUGAAGAUGCAGUGUACCCGCGGCAAGACGGAAAGACCCCGUGAACCUUUACUAUAGCUUGACACUGAACAUUGAGCCUUGAUGUGUAGGAUAGGUGGGAGGCUUUGAAGUGUGGACGCCAGUCUGCAUGGAGCCGACCUUGAAAUACCACCCUUUAAUGUUUGAUGUUCUAACGUGGACCCGUUACCCGGGUUGCGGACAGUGUCUGGUGGGUAGUUUGACUGGGGCGGUCUCCUCCUAAAGAGUAACGGAGGAGCACGAAGGUUGGCUAAUCCUGGUCGGACAUCAGGAGGUUAGUGCAAUGGCAUAAGCCAGCUUGACUGCGAGCGUGACGGCGCGAGCAGGUGCGAAAGCAGGUCAUAGUGAUCCGGUGGUUCUGAAUGGAAGGGCCAUCGCUCAACGGAUAAAAGGUACUCCGGGGAUAACAGGCUGAUACCGCCCAAGAGUUCAUAUCGACGGCGGUGUUUGGCACCUCGAUGUCGGCUCAUCACAUCCUGGGGCUGAAGUAGGUCCCAAGGGUAUGGCUGUUCGCCAUUUAAAGUGGUACGCGAGCUGGGUUUAGAACGUCGUGAGACAGUUCGGUCCCUAUCUGCCGUGGGCGCUGGAGAACUGAGGGGGGCUGCUCCUAGUACGAGAGGACCGGAGUGGACGCAUCACUGGUGUUCGGGUUGUCAUGCCAAUGGCACUGCCCGGUAGCUAAAUGCGGAAGAGAUAAGUGCUGAAAGCAUCUAAGCACGAAACUUGCCCCGAGAUGAGUUCUCCCUGAGACUUUAGGUCUCCUGAAGGAACGUUGAAGACGACGACGUUGAUAGGCCGGGUGUGUAAGCGCAGCGAUGCGUUGAGCUAACCGGUACUAAUGAACCGUGAGGCUUAACCUUACAACGCCG
rnacentral:rRNA from 1 species